AGAAUACUUGCUUAUGACGUCAUUUGUGACAUCACUUAUGACAUCAUUAUGUAAACGAGUAAUGAAAGAAAUGGAAGUCGACUAGCUGUUUACUAAAAUUUAAAAGUGAAGAUACAUCAAGAUUUAGCUCCAGUAAGAAAUCGAAUAGGACGUCGAAAAGGACGAAACGGAAAGCUGAGACUUUGCAAGAAUUACAAAUAGGAUGGCUGAAAAAGUAAACCGUUACAUGAUAACACACAAGGGCAUUUCCUUAUCAACCAUAUAUUGACACUUCCCAUCGCGUGAACCCUUACCAGACUACACUUGUUUAAAGGAAGAAAUGAGCAAAGGAUCCUCCAUGGAUCGGCAUGAAUGGAUGUUCCCUUUCUCAGUGGUCUAAGGAAACAAGACUGAAAGCAGGCUUGCAGAAAUAACAGCAGAUCAAAAUCUGGUGUGGCACGAUGACAAGUAAAGGUAAAAGCAAAGAAGUCAAGCACCGUCAUAAUCCGUCAAGUGCAACACAACAAUGAAAAAUGCAGACUGUGUUCUUUAAAGCAAAAACACUGAUUUAUUUCUCGUCCAAUCUUCAGCGAAUUUGGUAUAGAUAUGUGUUCAACAAACCCUGUUGGCUUAAUAAGUGAAGAAGUUAUGUACUUUAUGACAAUAAUAGUUUAGUCAAUAAAUUUAACGAAGCGAACAUUUGCAGCGCUGUUCUACAACAGUACAAAAAGACCAUGCCUGUAUUACUGCCUGUAUCAGCACAAGAAGUGGCAUAAACAUUAUUGCUUCACUAUUAAUUUUGAGAAUAUGUAGAGCUCUUGCAAACGCGUGAUGUUGGUGUCAGCGUUCAAAUUUGGUUAAGUUUAUAACACACCUAAGCACAAAGUGCUCCGUGUGGGCUAUUGUGGUUUCACUGUGUCCGUCAGCAAACAAUUGAAACGUCAACACUAUAGUGAUCACAAUUUUAAUUUAAUUGUUCAUAAUGUUACCCUUAAGGUAGUUCUGCACAUUUGAAAAACCGGAAGUGGUGGCGUAACGUCAUUUAUCCGGAAAACGUAGAAUAAAGCCUGGAUUCGGCGUAC
rnacentral:lncRNA from 1 species